UUCUAGAGCUUGUCUCUCCCUCAUCGAUAUUUCAGGGCGGACAAUGUCAUUUAAAAACAAUUAGUACAUUUUUUCGAAAGUGCGCUGGUCACCAAAUUAUGGAUAAUGAGAUUCUACUAACUUUCAUUGUGGGCUGUAUCGUUGGUUAUUAAAUUGGCAAGAAGUCCCAUUAGAUGGAUUGUGAUUGGUUUCUCACAUUUCUAAUUGGCUGCUUGGUGGGCUAUUUUGUUGCCAAGCACACCUAGAAUAUAUUGCCGAAGAAUGGAUCUUGAAAUUGCAGUCACAUUUCUGGUUGGCUGCUUUAUAGGAUAUUUGAUGACCAGGAAUACCUAGGACAACCGGCUUGCAUUAUUACCAUUAUAUAGUGCAAUAUUUAUAGUCAAGAUCAAAGAAACAAAAUGAGCCAUGUAGUGCCCUUCGCCCUGGGCGUGAUUAUUGGACUAAUGACCUGCAGAUGCUGAUCAGCCCUUUUUCCAGGCAAAUCUUAUAAAAUUCUAAAACGAAAAAUGUAAAAAUAAAAUA